rnacentral:rRNA from 1 species
UACAGAGGCCUCGAGCGUUAGGCGGAAUCACUGGGCGUAAAGAGUGUGUAGGCGGUGUUCCCAGUCUGUUGUGAAAUCUCCCGGCUUAACUGGGAGGGUGCAGCGGAAACUAGAAUGCUAGAGGGUGGGAGAGGUAAGCGGAAUUCCUGGUGUAGCGGUGAAAUGCGUAGAUAUCAGGAGGAACACCGGUGGCGAAGGCGGCAUCCUGGACCAACACUGACGCUGAGGAGCGAAAGCCAGGGGAGCAAACGGG